rnacentral:rRNA from 1 species
GGACUACCCGGGUUUCUAAUCCUGUUUGCUACCCACGCUUUCGUGUCUCAGUGUCAGUAGUGGUCCAGAAAGCCGUCUACACCGCAGGUGUUCCUCCUGAUAUCUACGCAUUUCACCGCUACACCAGGAAUUCCGCUUUCCUCUCCCACACUCAAGCCCCCCAGUUUUCGGCGCACCCUCCCAGUUGAGCCGGGAGAUUUCACACCAAACUUAGAGAACCACCUACACACUCUUUACGCCCAGUAACUCCGAACAACGCUUGCUGCCUACGUAUUACCGCGGCUGCUGGCAC